ACUGCCAGCCUGUGCUGCAUCACUGAAAGAAUACUUACUACACAUUAUGUCUGUCACCACAAAUCAAAAGGCCUUACAGACUGUAACACAGGUCCUGAAGCUCUUUAUGUUUUUAUUAUUAGUAAAUUAGUUUGCCUUCACGUUCCUGCAGAGGACCAAGACUUCUAUAGGGUCAAGGUUUUUAAUCACUCUACCAGCUGCAAACCUUCACUGGAAUAUUCUGACUGCCGGUUUUAGCACCCAAAUAAGGAAGACCUUUAUGCCACUGUGAAUGAUUUUGUGUCUUGUGUCUGUGUUGGAGUCUUCCCAACAAUCCCUACAACAGACGCCGUGAUCCAGAUUAACUCCAGGCCGCUCGGCCUGUUGGACAAGACUGCACCUGAAAGAUGAGACGACUCCAUUGAUCCCUGCACUUGAUUCUUCAAAAAAGCAGAUGGACCCGUCUGAUGCCAGGAGAACACACGGAUGGAUACCAACAGACGACUUAAAGAGAGAGACGUUUCAUUUCAACUUUAUUCACUGGAGGACGCUGCACAGGACCGCUCUUUAAAACACGUUCAUAUUAGGGGCAUUUUUUCACCGCCCCCACAACUCACAUGUUCAGACACAACUCCUCACUUCUUCAUCAGGUUACAAAGAAACACACUCAUACUGAGAAGGCACUGACUGGUGCAGGAUUGUAUUACACACAGAGAUAAUAACAAGUAAAUAAUGCACUUCAUUUGCCUCUUAAAGCAGCAACGUCUCCUCUUUGCAGUCCUGCUGUGAGUGGAGUCCGGAUCAGACUGUGGUGAAGGUGUAACGGGUGACGUGUUGGUAGACUUCACCAGGACGCAGAAGACAAUCAGGAAAUGAAGCCUGAAGACAGACAGAGGGACGAACAGAGAGUAAAUGAAGAGGAUUAUUUUUAUUCUUUGAUUCUGUUUCUGACUUUUUCAGUUUCAGUAAUAGUUCCUAAACGUUGGACCUUUAAUGGAGAUACCAGCACUGUGGACAGGGCUACAGAAACUGCACUAUGUCAGGCUAACACACUGAUAAAACAAAAGUGAAACAUACUAUUUCUUGUGCAAACCUCAACUAUGUAGAAAAUGAAUAAAAUGACACAGAAUGAUGUUGUUCUUCAGUAACAUUGCUUAUAAAAUGCCCUGCAUCAGCAUUGUGUGACGGCCAAAUUCCACCAGAUCCG